GAUGAACGCUGGCGGCGUGCCUAAUACAUGCAAGUCGAGCGAACAGACGAGGAGCUUUCUCGUCUGACGUGAGGGGCGGACGGGUGAGGAAUACGUGGAUAACCGACCGAUAAGACUGGGAUAAGGUCGGGAAACCGGAGCUAAUACCGGAUAAUAUAUUGAACCUGAUGGUUCAAUAGUGAAAGACGGUUUUGCUGUCACUUGUUGAUGGAUGCGCGCCGCAUUAGCUAGUUGGUACGGUAACGGCUUACCAAGGCGACGAUGCGUAGCCGACCUGAGAGGGUGAGCGGCCACACUGGAACUGAGACACGGUCCAGACUCCUACGGGAGGCAGCAGUAGGGAAUCUUCGGCAAUGGGCGAAAGCCUGACGGAGCAACGCCGCGUGAGUGAUGAAGGUCUUCGGAUCGUAAAACUCUGUUAUUAGGGAGGAACAACUGUGUAAGUAACUAUGCACGUCUUGACGGUACCUAAUCAGAAAGCCACGGCUAACUACGUG
rnacentral:rRNA from 1 species